rnacentral:tRNA from 1 species
GCGCGGGUGGCGAAACGGUAGACGCGCUAGUUUCAGGAGCUAGUGGGGUAACACCUGUGUGAGUUCGAAUCUCAUCCCGCGCA